GUCGACUGGUUCAUUGAACCGACAUAACUUGCACCAGUCUUGUCUAUCAGCUUGAUGAGAUUAAAUCGCUCGGUACCGUGGUAUCCACUGACUGUAGCUAUCACCGAUUCCAUGCCUUGGAUAGGUAAUCGCCCCCGCGCUGAGUACAAAAAAAAAAAAAAGAAUGUGGAUUUCUUAAAUAUUGUAUACCAGAUAAAAUAAUGAAAGGCCUAAAAUUGAACCCUAAAUAGCAUAUAGAUGCUGUUCCUCACAGUUACAGGAAGUGUUUUUACCCUUUUUAUGCCGCCGAUUCGCAUCCUCCUCUUCCAUGGAAGGUCUGCAAGAAGAGUAAUGGCUUUGCCG
rnacentral:lncRNA from 1 species